AUUCCUACGGGAGGCAGCAGUGAGGAAUAUUGCACAAUGGGCGAAAGCCUGAUGCAGCAACGCCGCGUGAGGGACGAAGGCCUUCGGGUCGUAAACCUCUUUUCUGGGGAAAGAGCAAGGACGGUACCUCAGGAAUAAGUCUCGGCUAACUACGUGCCAGCAGCCGCGGUAAUAAU
rnacentral:rRNA from 1 species